AUUGAACGCUGGCGGCAUGCUUUACACAUGCAAGUCGAACGGUAACAGGCCGCAAGGUGCUGACGAGUGGCGAACGGGUGAGUAAUGCAUCGGAACGUGCCCAGUCGUGGGGGAUAACUGCUCGAAAGAGCAGCUAAUACCGCAUACGACCUGAGGGUGAAAGCGGGGGACCGUAAGGCCUCGCGCGAUUGGAGCGGCCGAUGUCAGAUUAGGUAGUUGGUGGGGUAAAGGCUCACCAAGCCAACGAUCUGUAGCUGGUCUGAGAGGACGACCAGCCACACUGGGACUGAGACACGGCCCAGACUCCUACGGGAGGCAGCAGUGGGGAAUUUUGGACAAUGGGCGCAAGCCUGAUCCAGCAAUGCCGCGUGCAGGAAGAAGGCCUUCGGGUUGUAAACUGCUUUUGUACGGAACGAAACGGUCUGGGUUAAUACCCUGGGCUAAUGACGGUACCGUAAGAAUAAGCACCGGCUAACUACGUGCCAGCAGCCGCAGUAACAC
rnacentral:rRNA from 1 species